rnacentral:lncRNA from 1 species
UCUGGGGGUCUGCAGAGCCCAGGCUCCAGCACCCGCCCAGCCCUGUCUUAGAAGCAGUGGAGAUGAUUACCCAGGUUCCCGGGUAACGCCAGCCCCACAGAGGCGUGGGGAGCGGCUGCAGGUGCACCUCCAGGGCCAGCCUGAAGAGGCAGCGACCUGCACAGGGGCUCCUGGGAGGUGGGGGGCAGGGAGGGCACCUUGGAGCCUGCCGGGAGGAAGCUCCCUGGAAACCAGCCCCCGCCUCUUCCAGGGGUGGUUGGGGGGACCCUCCAGGCGGCCACCAUCUGUGCCUCCAGCCACCAGUUUCUCUCCACACACUACAACCUGCACAACCUCUACGGCCUGACCGAAGCCAUCGCCUCCCACAGGGCGCUGGUGAAGGCUCGGGGGACACGCCCAUUUGUGAUCUCCCGCUCGACCUUUGCUGGCCACGGCCGAUACGCCGGCCACUGGACGGGGGACGUGUGGAGCUCCUGGGAGCAGCUCGCCUCCUCCGUGCCAGAAAUCCUGCAGUUUAACCUGCUGGGGGUGCCUCUGGUCGGGGCCGACGUCUGCGGCUUCCUGGGCAACACCUC